UUUUAUACUAAUGCUGCAUUGGAACCCAGUGAAUGUCAUCUUGCUGAUGGCUGGGGCCCGACCAAAAGAGAAUAAACCACAUGGGAUACUGUGUGGGUGACAAGACCAUUAUUGGUAUUCGGAAAUAAAAAACCGCUUUGGUUGGUGGCGCAAUAUGCUCUUCGAUGUAAACGGCCACUCGGGUAGGCACGACAAGAGGCUCUGCAGUAAUGCAUCCCACGUGAAGAUGUUAGCGUGAGAAACUAGUAUCUCCGUCCUCAAAGGAAGUGCUCGGCUUGACGAUAGGUAACUAUCUAUAACUACCUUAGUGGGCACUGGUAGGAGAACGCCGUGAUUUCACUUUGUUAAAUAGGCAAUAACUUAGAUCUCACGCUGAAGCUCUCUGAAAGCUGGAAGAUUAUGCAAGUCUUCCCAAGGUUCGGUUCUUUGAACCCAUUCUAGAAGUAUAGGGGUCGCUACCUUAUGCUCAGCCUAGCGUGCUUGUGCGUGAACAACAAAUUAGAGUAAGUAUUGUAUGAUGAAGGUCGCCAAUGCCUUUUUUAUUUAC
rnacentral:sRNA from 12 species